ensembl:lncRNA
GGAGUCAUGAGGACUUCAGAUGUGGACAGACCAGUAUGCAAUGUCCAUAAUGUAAGACGCUUAAGACAGUGCUACAGGGAGACAGGAAGGAAAGUGCCAAACUACAUAUGACCAUAUGAGAGUUGUUUGAGAAUUUGAAAGUGCCUUGGUGGAAGAGUGAUGUAAAAUUUCACAGAUUCAUCUAUUGCAGUCCAUGAAGAUGAGAUGUAUCAAGAUGUAGUUUUAUUUUGGUCUUUCAUAUUUACAGGACUCAGCAGGGGCAUCUACAUAGUAGCUCAAUAAAGGAAAAGCAAUAUCUGGCUGCCUGCUUCAUGGAGGGGUAUGUGUUUUCACAAAGACUGUUUUGCCAGCUAACUGGGGAGCCAACACCACCUGUUUACAUUGUGGAGGUGCAUGAUGAAGACCUAAGUCAACAGGUACAAAAGGCCAGCUGCAAAUUUAAACAAUAUGCCACAUUUUUAAGACAUUUACCAUUUUGACACAAUUUACCAUUUGUACACUCUUAUGUGUGCCAGAUGAAUGCAUUGAAUUGCAUAAAAUUUUUAAAAUAUUUUUAGAUUUCGGACAUACUAAGAUAAAAUUAAACAUGGAUCACAUGAGAGUAUCAUCUUCAUUCAACAACAUGACAGACAAUUGUUAUUGUUGUAGUAUUAAUGUGAAAUGCUUCUGAGCUUAUGUCGUAUGACUUAUUGGUACAAAUUAAGGUUUUGUACUUCAGCAUACAUUUACCAUGGUGUAUGAAAUAAAUUGUAUCUUUUGCAAGAUUAGAUUGCAAAUUAAGGGCAUUACUGUCAGUAUUAAACAAUAGUGGGGAAUCUCCUAACCCAUGGUUCCCAACCGUUCCAGGAGGGCCCCCAACACUGCGGCUGCAUCCAAAAACUUAGGCACCUGAUUAGGGCAAUGACUUUGCAGGCAGUGUUUUUGCACAAAGGCACCUGAUGAAACUGGUUUCGGACAGGCUUCUGAGGCAGCAUAAAGGUUUAGUGAUCUACAACAGAAUAGACCAAGUUUUGGUGAUAACUAAACAAAUAUUUAAUUACUACAAUACUUAUUUCUUGCUAGAAAUAACAUCAAAAGUGCACAAAGUUAUGCAGAAAUAUACAUUUACAUACAAACUAACCACUAAAUGCAACUUUCAGAUGCCAUCUUUAUUUUUUUUAGCUCAACUGUCACGGAAUGGAAUGCACAGCAUUGUGGGAAACCAAAGGCGGCGAAGGAUACAUCUAUGCUGCCUUCAAAAAUCGGAUGAAGGAAAACAAAUCAGCUCACCUUAAACGCACCAAGUAAUUUUCCCUGUAUUAUUUUCCUCCUCUGGCCGCUUCACACUCCAGUCCAGCGGGUGGCGCUACGUUUGUUCGCCAAACACCAUUAAACAUCAGAGAAAGAAGAUUAGAUUCACCGUAAUAGUGAAGAGGAUUAGCGAUAAUGUUUCAGUAUACACAGGAGAAAUGCUAGCUAUUUUGUUAGCAGUACAGUGGAUAGAGGAAAUAAGACCAUUGAGGGUUAUUAUUUGUUCAGAUUCAACUUCAUCAUUAAUCAGUCUACAGAGCAGUCACUCAGACAGCAGAGCAGAUAUUUUGUUAGAAAUACAACAAACAUAUAGAAUUAUAUUUAUAGAAUUAUAUUUUUGUGGGUGCCAGCACAUU